AUCCUGCUGGAGUGAGUCAGCAGAUUUCCAUAGAGCAUGACUUUGCAUCAGCAGCACCAUGCUCCAGUGCUCUGGGAGAGUUUAUAGUCCUGAGAGUUGAAGACUGGAUGACUGACAGCUGUCCUUCAUCACAACAGAAGACUUGGAAAUCCUCCUGAUCAAAACCAUGACUUUGAUCUGCGUCCUCAUCUGGACUCUCCUCUGCUUCACUCAGGGGUCUGAUGGACAACAUGUUAUAACUCAGUCAGCAGCCAGAUCAGUGCAGCUUGGUCAGACUGUCUCUGUGGACUGUAAAGUCAGUCCACCAGCAGCCUUUGCUGGUUUUCAACACUUCCGGUAUCUUUCCUGGUACCACCAGACACCUGGAGAAGCUCCUAAACUCCUGAUUUAUUUAACAUCAAGCAGAUUUUCAGGAAUCUCCUCUAGAUUCAGUGGAAGUGGAUCAGGGAAUGGAGCUGACUUCACUCUGACCAUCAGUGGAGUUCAGGCUGAAGAUGCAGGAGUUUAUUACUGUCUGGGUUUUCAACAUGGCUAUGUGUUCACACAGUGA